AGAUUUUAUUUGUGAAAAUAUCAAUUGAAUACAUAUCUUUUAUAUAUCAUUGUAAUAAUGAAAUUUAAAGCUAUCGUAUUUUUAAUCGUUACACUAUUUAUUGGUCUAACAUUGAGUGUGAAUACGUGCAAAUCGGAUCACGAUUGCCGAAUAACCUGCAGAAAUGAAGAAAGAGUCAUAUGCGGAGGUGGUCAUUGCUUCUGUGAAACUAAACCAGAAAAUGAAACAUGAAACAUAUUGUCUUUACUUAAUAAAUGCGUAAUUGUACUUUCAAUUUCACAGAAUUCAUUAAGUUGAA